GAUGAACGCUGGCGGCGUGCCUAAUACAUGCAAGUCGAGCGAACGGACGAGAAGCUUGCUUUUCUGAUGUUAGCGGCGGACGGGUGAGUAACACGUGGAUAACCUACCUAUAAGACUGGGAUAACUUCGGGAAACCGGAGCUAAUACCGGAUAAUAUUUUGAACCGCAUGGUUCAUAAGUGAAAGACGGUCUUGCUGUCACUUAUAGAUGGAUCCGCGCUGCAUUAGCUAGUUGGUAAGGUAACGGCUUACCAAGGCAACGAUGCAUAGCCGACCUGAGAGCGUGAUCGGCCACACUGGAACUGAGACACGGUCCAGACUCCUACGGGAGGCAGCAGUAGGGAAUCUUCCGCAAUGGGCGAAAGCCUGACGGAGCAACGCCGCGUGAGUGAUGAAGGUCUUCGGAUCGUAAAACUCUGUUAUUAGGGAAGAACAUAUGUGUAAGUAACUGUGCACAUCUUGACGGUACCUAAUCAGAAAGCCACGGCUAACUACGUG
rnacentral:rRNA from 1 species